rnacentral:lncRNA from 1 species
UUUGGUUUGCUUUGGUUUGGUUCAGAUAUAAAUAAAAAUUAUUUAUUAUAAAAAUAAAUAAAUAUUUAUAUAUAAAUAGAAAUUAGACUAAUUUUAUAUUUAAAUAAAAAUUAGAUUGUUUUUAAAAAUAAGGUAAUAGUGUUUGGAUAGUUAGAUUGGAAUAAGGGGUAUAAGAGUUAUAAUUUUAAAUUAAAAAUAUUUUAUCUAAUUAAUUAAUAUCUAAAUAUUAAUUAAAAAUAAUUUAAUACAUUAAUAAAUUAUGCAUAAAUAUGUUAAAUUAUUAAUUUUUUAAUUAUCUAAUUAAUUCUAAAAUAAAUAAUUGAUUAAUUACUUUAUUAUUUAAACAAUAGAUAAUAAUUUAAAUAUAUUAAGUAAAUUAAUUAAUAAUUUAAUAUAAUAAUUAAAAUUAAAUUUAGACUUUAAUUAAACUUGCUCCUGCUUGCGAACAAGCUUGUUCCACGAAAAGGGUGGAACAAUAGUUCUAGCCUUAUACCGGCUUGUUCUAGAAAAAGGAGAACAACUAUUCCAAUCCCUAAUUUCAUGUUUGGGAAACAAGGGAAGAUAAUCCCUUAUUCCACCUCUUGUUCUCCAACCAAACGAGGCCAAAAAGUAUUCAUACCUACUGUUCAUUUUAUGAGAAGCUUCCAACACAAAAAAAAGAUUAUAAUAAACUGUAAUGUGCGCGAUAAAAUCAAUGCAUGGAUGGCGAAAAGAUGAUACAUGAAAUUGAGAAAAAAAAAUAUGGAAAACGAUAAUCUGGCAAGUCGUAUAGUCAACUUGUAAAAAGAAUUUGGUGGUACAGGGGUAUUACUUCUUGGACGGUUUCUGUCACGCCCUGGAUUUCAGCGGAAGCUUACAAGUCGCGUGCACAGACCCGCCGUGUACACCACAACUCAAGUAUACACCAGGCGUCUACAAAUAGUAUAGUAAAAGAAUUCGAUUCUAAUCAGGUAAUCAAAGCAAAACUUAAAAGUUUAAACUUAUACCAUCCAAGACCUUAUUACAGUAAAUAAGAACAAAAUCCAAUUUACAUGAUCUUAAUAUACAUCACUGAACUAAUCUACAUAAACGGGUAAAGAUCGUCUAUUUAACGUCAAGAAGGCUCUAGCUAGCCGCUGAUCCCUCGCCAGGAACCCUAGCAUUUCCCGCUGUGGGAGGCUCUAUAAAAACAACAACAAAGAGGAUAUGAGAACUAUUAAACAAUAGUUUCCAGUGGGUAAGCCACCGAGAGUGGCGAAGUACACCACUAGGUCAACUGUGGCAUGAGUAAAUAGCAAUAAAGAAGCAACUAAAUGCAACAGGUAUGAAAGUAAACUACUCAUGCUAUUUGCUCAACAAUAAAUAAAUAUCAACAAGCUGCAGGUAUUAGUUAUCAUGAUAGAUUCUAUCAUUCAUAUUAAUUGACAAUUAACUAGGCAUAUACCAGAUUGUAUGCAUGAUAAUUCGUCUUACUGAAAUCACUGAUAAUAUCAUGUAAUUACCUUCGAUAUU